rnacentral:piRNA from 1 species
UGCCAGUAAUAUAGUGUUGUAUGCCU